GACGAACGCUGGCGGCGUGCUUAACACAUGCAAGUCGAACGGAGAAGCGCCUUCCUUGUUGGGGGGUGUGGAAGAGUGGCGAACGGGUGAGUAACACGGGAGUAACCUGGCCCCUGCUUCUGGAGAACCGCAUGAAAGAGGGGCUAAUACGGGAUAUUCUGGGUCUGUCGCAUGAUGGGUCUGGGAAAGAUAGUGUUGCGGUGGGGGAUGGGCUCGCGGCGUCUGAGCUUGUUGGUGGGGGGAGGGCCGACCACGGCGGUGACGGCUAGCCGGCCUGAGCGGGUGGCCCGUCACACUGUCAAUGCGACUCGGCCCGGACUCCUGCGGGCCGCAGCCGUGGGGCAUAUUGCCCACUGGGCUCAAGCCUGCUGCGGCCACGCCGCGUGAGGGAUGGCGCCCUUCGGGUUGUGAGCCUCUUUCGCCAGUGAAGCCCGCCUGCCUCGUUUGUGGUUGGGUUGACGGUAGCUGGAUAAGAAGCGCCGCCUAACUACGUG
rnacentral:rRNA from 1 species